rnacentral:rRNA from 1 species
UACGGAGGGUGCGAGCGUUAAUCGGAAUUACUGGGCGUAAAGCGCAUGCAGGUGGUUUGUUAAGUCAGAUGUGGAAGCCCGGGGCUCAACCUCGGAAUAGCAUUUGAAACUGGCAAGCUAGAGUACUGUAGAGGGGGUAGGAAUUUACUAGGUGUAGCGGUGGAAAUAGCGUAGAGAUCUGAAGGAAUACCGGUGGCGAAGGCGGCCCCCUCGGACAGAUACUGACACUCAGAUGCGAAAGACGUGGGGAGGCAAACAGGAUUAGAUACCCCCGUACGU